rnacentral:rRNA from 1 species
UACGUAGGCAGCAAGCGUUGUUCGGAAUUACUGGGCGUAAAGAGUGUGUAGGUGGUGUCGUAAGUUUGGUGUGAAAUCUCCCGGCUUAACUGGGAGGGUGCGCCGAAGACUGCGAUGCUGGAGUAUGGGAGAGGAAAGCGGAAUCCUGGUGUAGCGGUGAAAUGCGUAGAUAUGCGGAGGAACACCGAUGGCGAAGGCAAUCCCCUGGGCCUGCACUGACGCUCAUGCACGAAAGCGUGGGGAGCAAACAGG